ensembl:snoRNA small nucleolar RNA SNORA50
AUGCACUGUCUUUGAACCUAGUUGGUCCUGUCCAUGACCUCUUAGGCCAAGCUACAGUGCAAAAGCAAAACCAGGCUUGUUUAUAACUGGGGCUUCCUGGCAGCACCCCCAGGUCGCCCUUUUAAAAGCAAGUCACAGUC